UCCCCAACCAGCCACCCACAGCGGCCCACACU
rnacentral:piRNA from 1 species